rnacentral:rRNA from 1 species
UGGGGAAUAUUGGACAAUGGGCGCAAGCCUGAUCCAGCCAUGCCGCGUGAGUGAUGAAGGCCCUAGGGUUGUAAAGCUCUUUUGUGCGGGAAGAUAAUGACGGUACCGCAAGAAUAAGCCCCGGCUAACUUCGUGCCAGCAGCCGCGGUAAUACGAAGGGGGCUAGCGUUGCUCGGAAUUACUGGGCGUAAAGGGUGCGUAGGCGGGUCUUUAAGUCAGAGGUGAAAUCCUGGGGCUCAACUCCAGAACUGCCUUUGAUACUGAGGAUGUUGAGUUCGGGAGAGGUGAGUGGAACUGCGAGUGUAGAGGUGAAAUUCGUAGAUAUUCGCAAGAACACCAGUGGCGAAGGCGGCUCACUGGCCCGUUACUGACGCUGAGGCACGAAAGCGGGGGGAGCAAACAGG